GACGAACGCUGGCGGCGUGCCUAAUACAUGCAAGUUGAGCGCUUAAGGUUGGUACUUGUCCCAACUGGAUGAGCAGCGAACGGGUGAGUAACGCGUGGGGAAUCUUCCUUUGAGCGGGGGACAACCUUUUGAAACGAAUGCUAAUACCGCAUAAAAACUUUAAACACAAGGUUUAAGUUUGAAAGAUGCAAUUGCAUCACCCUAAGAUUAUCCCGCGGUGUAUUAGCUAGUUGGUGAGGUAAAAGCUCACCCAGGCGAAGAUACAUAGCCGGCCUGAGAGGGUGGUCGGCCACAAUGGGAAUGAGAACCGGCCCAAACUCCUACGGGGAGCAGCAGUAGGGAAUCUUCGGCAAUGGACGGAAGUCUGAACGGGCAACGCCGCGGGAGUGAAGGAGGGUUUCGGAGCGUAAAACUCUGUUGGUAGGGAAGAACGUUGGUGAGAGUGGAAAGCUCAUCAAGUGACGGUAACUACCCAGAAAGGGACGGCUAACUACGUG
rnacentral:rRNA from 1 species